rnacentral:rRNA from 1 species
UACGUAGGGUGCAAGCGUUGUCCGGAAUUAUUGGGCGUAAAGAGCUCGUAGGCGGUCUGUCGCGUCGGCUGUGAAAACCCGGGGCUCAACCCCGGGCCUGCAGUCGAUACGGGCAGACUAGAGUGCGGUAGGGGAGACUGGAAUUCCUGGUGCAGCGGUGAAAUGCGCAGAUAUCAGGAGGAACACCGGUGGCGAAGGCGGGUCUCUGGGCCGUUACUGACGCUGAGGAGCGAAAGCGUGGGGAGCGAACAGG